GGGGGCUGCCACCAGCAAUUCACAGGAGGCCAGCCUGAGGGAGACAAGAGAGGCAGAGCCAGAAGCCUUUUCCUGGCCACCGUCUUCCUCUGUCAGCUUCCCCAGGCUCUAGACCUGGUGCUCACCCCAAUAAAUGGUCUGCCCCCCUCAUUCCCAGAGGCUACAGAGCUGAGGAGCUACAGGGCGAUGUCUUAGCUCCAUUCUCCGCGGUCAUUUCAUGUCCUCUCCUGAAGAGAAAGAAAAUAUAGCAUAGACCCUUAUCGGUGCCUAGCGGGUUGGAGACUGGAAGAGCUGAUGUUCCAGUCCAAAACCAGGCCUGGGUUCUAGCUGGGAGGCAGUUGGGAGACUCGCUUUCCAAGAUGGUGGGAGUGGCAUGCCCUUGAGCCUUUUAAUCUUAGUUGUAUCUCGGCCUGAGGGGAUGGGAGGUCAUCUGCCAUACACAAUGUAUCAAACAAGGUUAAUCCUCCCUCUUUUGCAGAGGCACUUGGUGACAGUGGUGAUACUGACAGAUCUAUGACAACAAACUUAAAGGACACUUCGUUCUGGCUCACAGUUUUGGAGGCCCUGGGCCAGAGCUGAUUGGCUCCAUUCCUUUUAUGGUAAAAUACAAAGGCAUUGAUCUGCUGGGCAGGAAGCAAGAGCAGAGUAGGGCCCCACCGCUCUGGAGCAGAGCUCCCUGACCUAAAGGCUUCCCAGUAGCCCCACCUCCUAAAGGCUUCAUCCCUUCCAAUAGGGAUCCUUGAGCACAAGGGUCUCUGGGGGCUCCUGCCUGGCCCUGGGGACAAGAGCUGGCAUCAGAUGAGGUCCACUCAAUAGAGCCAGGACCACUUGAGCAGGCUCCCCCUGGGCGACAGACCCAGAAGCCACCCAUCACAGGUGUGAAGUGGUCUAGCCAGGGCAAGACUGGCAAAGCAGGGUGGCUAGCCUGGGCUUACAUUUCAGCUGUGGACUGACUACACACAGCAAUGGAUGGCAUGGGUUGGGGACAGAGCUAGGAGAGGCACAGGCAGCAGCUCUGACUCCUACCUCUAACCAGGGCACAGUGAGAGCUCCUGAUUGUCUCUUCCUGGUUAAGCCCAAGGUCAGGGUGAGCGGCAGCCCAGUCCUCCCCCGUGAAGAGAGAACAGCCCUGGGCAGCGUGUGGUAGUGAGUCUCAGAUUUAACUGGGACAGCUAAUCCCCUCCGGAAAAACAAAAGCAAGGGACACUCAGUGGCUAGAUGCCUUCACCCUGGCUCCAGCCCUGGGUUGAUGUCCUUGGCAUGGCCACAGCGUGUCCUGGGGCCACUGUGAGUUGCUUCAGGACGGCCUGUCCAUAGCACCUGUACCACAUGACCUGUGUCUUUCCUUCAAGGCACACUGACCUGGCCAAAGCGAACAGGGACAAACCGCCACCCUUGUUACAAGAGUCCAUGAGGGUUUCGUGACUACUGGCUUGACCAAGAGAUGGCUGUUUUGGGCGUUCUAAGAAUGUGACCCUGGAGCCGAGGCGAGGAAAGGCAGGUUUGCCUUGACCGACCGCCCUUAAGUCUUUCCUCAGGUUGCAAGCUCAGCAGAAGUCUGGUGGGUCAAGCCACUUUCCAUCUUGCCUGCAAAUCAUCGGCCAGCAGGGUUCACAUGCCGGGUAAUGAACACGCGGGGAGUCUCUUGCUUUCUGUCUGAUCGGACACCCCAGCUGUGCCCUCUAAGGACAGAUCAAGGACUCAGCUAGAAUAGAGAUCGCUCUUCCCUUUGAAGAGGUUCUGUCUUUGCACCCUGCAAGGACCAUGACGACCUUCCUCCCUGACCUGUGCCCUACUGUCCUGGGCUCUGCUGCCUCUGCAGACCCCAGAAACAGGAGAGCCAGGAUGAGGUCACUCUGGCCACCUAUUGUCCUGAGUUACCUGCUCGGAGAAAUCUAUUUUACUCUUAAGCAACACAAUAACACCAGGAGCGAGGUUGUGAGACAGGGUUUUGGCAUGUAGCCCAGGCUAUCCUAGAACCCACUCUGCAGUACAUGUCUGAUGUGCUGAACUGCACAGCAGGCCUUGGAGAGGCACAGAGACUACCCACCAUCCACUCAGCAGCGUGGCCCCCCUUGCCUUUGGGCACCAGCAGCUUCUUUUCAAUCUCUGUUCUUCCUAGAGGCCUUCCCAAGAAGAAAAGGACACUCUUCUUAAACAGUUCACAUUUAUUAUUGUAACAAUAAAAAAAUCUUUUAAAGACUA